CUUUUGUACAACACACCAUCAUGGGUCUUUUACUAACAUGGACUUGUCUCCUAAUGUUUGUACCAGGCAUCCGGUCUGAUCCCAUGCUCACACAGACAGACUCACAGUUGUUAAGAAAGCCAAAUGAGUCUUUCAAGUUAACUUGCAAAGGAUCUGGGUUUGAUUUCAGUCAGCAUGGAAUAAACUGGAUACGUCAGGCACCCGGGAAAGGUCUUGAAUGGAUAGGAACGAUUUGGUAUGAUGCCAGUAGAACAGAGUAUGCCAAAUCUUUAGAAGGACGCAUAGAAAUAACAAGGAACAACAAGGAGAGUGUGUGUUUUUUGGAACUGAAGAAGCUGGUUACUGCAGAUACAGCCACAUAUUUUUGUGCUAGAGCACACUGGCAGAACUAGUGCAGUUGUCGUACAAUAUCUGUAUAGUAUC